GGCUUGGAGAAGAGAGAAAGAAAGAAAGAACGGGAGAAGAAGGCAAGAAUUCACCAAGAUCAUCCAAGCUUGCGAGUGGAAUUCGUCGGGGGUGAUCCCUAUUAAGGUAUGUGAGAUCUUUUCGUGAUGGGUUAGUUCACCCACACUCCCAACUUAUUUUUAUUCAGAGAAUGGUUGUUGAUUGAAUGAAAAGUUAGUGAGUUCUUGAAGAACUGUGUUGAAAUUCGUUAAGUUCUUGUUGGUUGAGUUGUUGAUGCUUGGGGGUAGAUUUG
rnacentral:lncRNA from 1 species